UACGCCCUAAGUAACAUUUUGAUCUUAUCGAGAAAAUCGAAUUCAAAGUUUUGGUUUUCAUUUUUAAUUCCUAUUUAAUGAUCAAACCGAAAACAGUAUAAUGAAUAAGCGCAAACGACAUCAGAUAACAGCGUUUAUUACUUCCUGAUUAAAAAUAUAGAUAGAGUACAAAAAAACAUUAGUUUUUUGCAUUAAAUCAGUUCUACGUCGUUUGGCGUCAGAAAACGUAAAUAAGACAUUUUGUUAAGUCAUUCUGAAACCUCUCGGUUACUUUCGUCGGUUACGUUACGUCGCGUUACGCGAAUUUAUGUUGCUUACGUCGGUGUGUUUACGUCAUGUAGCCAGCUGUCAUGUUGGUUACGCCAAGUUACUUACGUCGUUGUGUUGAUCGAUUUGUGUGGAAGAUUGGCACUUAAGCCAUACGGAUUCCUCAUAGAAAAAGUAAGUGUUUCCUACGCAGCAAUGGUGCCGCAGGCAAAUUAACUUGGAAUACCUAGCGGCAACAACAGGCGCCAACGGAUGCAACCGAACCGGGGAAGUCUUCGUUCCGAAAUCGGAAUGAUAUUAUAGUAAUAUAAUCUAGAAGAUCCAGGGCGAAUCCUGUUGCAAGCUCAUCAGCUGCAGCUCAUCCAGGAUUGUGGCCACUGAGCGGAUGACUGUCGGUGUAUCGUGCAAUGCUCUAGGGCUUGCGACAAUGUUUCGAAAGCAAGGCGGCGGUGAACUAGGAGGCCGAGGUGGCGAUAGAGACGACCGCGGAGAUAGCCAGCAUCGCGGUGAUAACCAUGACAACGGACAGAGUAAUUUAAAAGUUGCAUAACUAACUAUGGUUACUGGACCAACUUGCAGACUAAAAGAUGCUGUAUGCCUUCAAGAACGUCCAAACUAUCCUGGAGUUUAGCCAUUGACAUCUACAGCUGUACAAUAGUUAUGUUUGCCGUUAAAUGUUGUUCAACUAUAAUAUAUUAUCCCUUCGAAGUUGUA